rnacentral:tRNA from 1 species
UGGGGGAUGGUGCAGCUGGUAGCACGCCUGACUCUGGAUCAGGAGGUCCUAGGUUCGAUCCCUAGUCCCCCAGCCA